AUGGAUCCAAAUUCAACAUAUUUGCUGAAAAUCAAAUUGCUUGGCAACCCAAAAAAAGCUAGGAAGGAUAUCAAAUGCUUUUGUUAUGAUAAGGUUAUUGAUUCCGACUUAACAACUUAUAAGGACUUGGUUGAAUCAAUCGUAGAGCAGUACUCGCCUCGCUAUUUGGAAGUUGCACAUGUUCAGUACUAUGAUCCUUUUCUUAAAAUCUACCCAGAAGUAACAUCUGACCAGGAAUUGGUGUCUAUGUUUGAGAAACUCUCUAAGACAAAGGUUGUGCACUUGUUUGUUGCAUAUUGUGAUCCAUCUGAACCAUAUGAGCCUACCACGGAGUGGCAUAUUGAUGUGCAUAUCCAACCUAGCAACACAGAACAAGACGAUGAUGAUUAUCUUCGCAACCCAAUACUUGAGAAUGAACAUGUUGGUGUUGAUGAGGAAAAUAUUUAUUUAGACGAUGAUGAUUAUGAUAAAUUAGAUCCUCUUAUCAUGGUUCCCUGUUUCGAUAAAGAAAGGGACGAAGACUAUGUUCCUGAUCAUGAGAGCGAGGAUGAGAGCGAUGAGGAAGUAGAGGAAGAUGAGGAAGUGCACGAGGCAGAGCAUGUUGGAAAUAUGCCCUAG
rnacentral:rRNA from 1 species